CAAAUUAUUAAAUUCAUUAGUAGGUUACCAUGUGUAAUUAAAUGAAAUACAAUAACUAAGUUAUUAUACUUAGUUAAAUGCCUAAUAAAUAAGUAAGGGAAUGAAAUUGGUGGCAAUUAUGAUGGUGUGAUAAACUUGAGGGACUAAGGUUGCCAAAAUAGAAACUGAAUUUAAUUAAAACAAAAUUAAAUCACACACAAACACACACAAGGUGUGUGCUACGAUCGAACAGGAGAAAGGAAAAAGGGGGUGUGAACCCUAAACCUCAAGAAAUCAUCAAAUUGAAAAGGGAAUCAAGGGCUGAUUGUAUGCACGAACCAAGGAUGAUGAUCCCUUAAGCAUUUCUAACAUCAACGUAGGAGCCAUGUCAACAUGGACACGAGCAUGGAAGGGCAAUGGGUCAACGGUAAAUACGGAAGCUAUGCAUGAACUCGGACGCACGAGGUAAGUGAUUUCCGUAAUCACUUCUUAUUUUGUUUAAGUAAGGUAGCGUUAGUUAAUUGAGCAUGGUGAUGAUUGAAGUUUGAUAUGGUUUUGGUUGUAUGAAAUCGGUUAUUUUAGCUAAGUAGACCGAACGGGACAAUAUAAAGUUGUAAUGAUAUGACAGAUUGAUGUAAUGCUAUGGUAUUGUAACCGGGUAAUGGGUAGAAUUGCACAUAAGUGCGCCAACCUAGAAUGGGGACUUAGGUUAAUGGUCAAAAGACUUAGCUUUUGACCUUAAAUAAAAGAAUGGUUUAACAAAAUACGAACAGGUCGAAUAAAUGUCCAUAAACUUCAUAAUGCUAAUGAAAUGCGUAAAGAUUAAGGACCCGGGUAAGGGCGUUUAGCCCAUAAUGUAAGGACAAGUCUUACGGACAACUAGAAAUAAUUGUGAGCAAUUUGAUUGAGGAAUGUCCGAGAUACGCAAGUUUUAAUAAUAAAAAUAUGAAUGGGUUGAAUAGUCGAAACGAGUAUGUAGAGCCGAAGGCUUUAAGUUAAGAUUUUUCCUUGUUUGGAUGUUAUAUUACAAGCUCAUAUUAGAAAAUCGAUUUACCAACGCAUAGGAAAAAGAAUCAUGUUAAUCGGAUUCGUAGAUCAAAAGUUAUGCAAAUUGUAAGUCGAAAAUACCCUUGGAAUUCAUAGCUGGGAAUUUACAGCAGCAAAUUGGAAGUUUCUGUCGAAAUAGAGCUGUCGCGCCCCGCGAGCGCCAGUCAGCUGGCAAAUUUUGGUUUUCUUGUUUGAUUUUGCAUCCGGACUCGAUGUUUUAAUGAUUUUCGAUGUCCCUUAACUUAUAUUAAAGCCGGUUUGAAACACGAGUGAUGUUAUGAGCCUCCGGAUAAUGAAAGUAUGUAUUUUUCUUCGUGUUAGAGAAGAAAGAUUAUAAGUAAUCGAGACUAGAAAUGAGUGGGCAUGCAGUAUGGUAAGUAUAAAACUUAUAUCACGGAAGUUGCGAUUAUGAUAAGAAAUGCGAGAUUAAGUGAAUAAAAGUAGUAAGCGAGGGCUCGCGUCUAUGUGUGUGUAUGUGAAUGUGUGCGUAUGUAUGUAAGUGUAUAUGUUGUAUGUAUGUAGGAAUUAGGAACGUAUACGUUUAUGGAUGCGAGAUGUUAUAAGUAUAUGAAGGAAUGGUUUGGACUGGUUUCAUUAUGUUCUAGCAUUAAUGUUUGCUAAUCGUGUGUUUGAGAUUGGAAUGAAAUGCAGGUACAUGAACACCGGGUUCAUGAAGUAUCGAAGUCGAAUUCGGAACAAGAAAAUACGAAAGGAUAGUUGAAUGAAUUAAAGUUCCUACUGUUAAAUGUUAUUCAAUAUUGGAGUAUAUGAGAAUCAUGUCGUAUGAUAUUGUUAAUGACUAAUGGUUAUGAUGUAUGCGAUGUCCACAGGUAUUGCACGGAUUACCGCUACUACUACCGAAGAUAAGCAAGCGUUGAUCGAGUCACGGAGCAAGGGUUGUACGGAAAUAUGUAUUGUCUUGAAGCGUUAAUUUAAUGUGGUUAUUGUAAAUCCCUUUUGUAAAUGUUUAUCAUUUGUAUUUGAGCCUUCAAGUAAGUAAUGUGUCUAAAUAAGAAAGAAAUUUUUGGGCUCGUAUUUUUCCGCUGUGUCAUAUUUAAGUUCUUACAAGUUGGUCUUACAGGGAAUCGUUCAUUAUACGAACGGGUCAUGCCCGAAUUUUGUAAAUAAUAAUACUUAUUUUGGAGUAAGAAAUAUGGGCGUUACAAGUUGGUAUCAGAGCCCUGGUUUGAGGGAAAUCAAGUAGAUGGAGGUAAAUACUUGAACUCAAACCCGUGUGCUCUUGUGUCAAGGAACCCGUACAAUCCAAGACUCGAUCAAGGCCUGAGGUUAAAAGCGAAUGUAAGUAUGUAUUAAAUUAUGUAUUUCAAGGAAACUAAUAGUAUGUUAUGUGAAGGGUAAGCGGAAUUUCUUGGAAGGGAUGAUAUGUGAAUGUGGUUUAGGACCGAUACCAAGGCAUGUAAUAAGACAUAUUGACCCAGGUACGUAAAUUUAGCUUAUGGGUGCAUGUAAUGGUAAAAUCUAUCAAGUGAAUGAAAAUUUUGAAUGAAAAAAAUAAUAAUAAUGGAAUAGUAAUGAAGUUUUGAAAAUAUUACACGUGCUGAAACCUAAUUCUUCGGACAUAAGGUGGCGAUUACACGAAGACGCGGAACUAGUAUGUGGAUUGCGUACCUGGCCAGUACACAAGAAACAUAUGACGUUCGUGAGACCGUGAUAAUUGUUACAGGUAUGUCCGUUAGAAUUAGGUAGUAGGUGGACGUGAGGGUGAAGGGAGAUGUAAGACUCUCAAGAAAUUGAAAGUACCUAAUACAAAAGAGAAGUAUGAAUGGCAUGUUUGAAUCCGCGAGACGGAUUCGAAACAUGAAAGGAAUGAAAAGAUAUGAAUGAUAUGUUAGAAUCCGCGAGACAGAUUCGAAACAUGAAAGGAAUGAAAAGAUAUAAAUGAUAUGUCAGAAUCCGCGAGACGGAUUUGAAAGAUGAAAGGAAUGAAAAGAUGUGAAUGAUAUGUUAGAAACCGCCAGACGGAUUCGAAACAUAGAAGGGAAUGAAUGAUAGAAUGAAAAGUUUGAAUUCGUAAGUAGGUACAAAUCAAAUAAGUAAGAAUGAAUGAUAAGAAUGAAAGGUUCAAAUUGUAAGUAAUUACAGACCAAACAAAUAAAUGAUCUUUAAAAAGCAGAUAUUAUCCAAGUUAUUUUUUAAACAUAUAUAUAUAAAUAUAUGAAUAUAUUUUGCUAAUGCGUAGUAUGCAAGAAUGGUUAAAAGGAUAAUUGAGUUAUGCAGGUCAAAAGGAGAUUGCCAUUUGCACCCGGUGUUCAACAAAGUAAGUUGAUAGUUAUUAAGCAAGUAAUAGUAAAAUAGCAUGAAAUAGUUGAUUCGCCAAGUAGAUAAACCGAUAAAAAAAUAUUGUAGUAGCAAGAAACUUUAGCCGAAAGAAAUAAGCUUUGAAAUAAGUUAUGUGUAAGACAUAUUAUAAAUUGACUCUUGGGAGUCGGGAUGAAUGAAGGCUACGACUUAGAGAAAUGAUUUAAGUAGGGACAGGAAGGGGUAAAAUCUUGCAAUUAAUAUUAAAAUGAUUAAAUAAAGUCUUUGCAAGUAUGCAAGAAUGGAAAGGAAUUCUGAACGUGUACUUUGAUACGUCUAUGAUAAGUAAGAAGUACCGGUUUGACUUUGAAAAGUCAAACUACAAAAGUUGACAAAUGAGCUAAAGAUCUGCGAAGGAAUGGUUAUAUAUUGACCUGUCAUGAACGGGUCAAACAACGAAAGAGAUAUGUUGUAAAAUGGUCAUGUAUUGGCCCGUUAUGAACGGGUCAAACGCACUAAUGUUUUAAAAGGAAUCGAGAAAGAAUUAAUAUGCAAAUAAGGUGGUGUAAUGAACAUCACGUCUGAAUGAAAUAUGUAAAACCCUAAUCUUAUAAUGAGAGUGGCAGGAAUCAGGAGGUGAUAAACCUAGCAAGGUCAGUCAAAGAAUGCUCAUGAGCGAAAGCUCAUCACACGGAUGAAAGAGGUCAAUCCGGAAAAUGGUACAAAUGGUAAUGAAGAAGACCGGUUCGCUCUUACAUGCCUAAGCACUGCGCCAAAGUAGUAAGUUUAGGGAAUUAUUAAUAUGUGAAUGUAAAAUUAUAACUAUGGUUGAAAAGUACUUCCGUACAAAAUUAUGUGGCAGAGAAUGUGUUAUGAAAAGGAAGGCUUGGCUUUUAGAAGUUAAUUAAGAUUAAGUUUCAGUUCAGGCUUAUGUAGUAAGUAGUGCGAAUGAGUAAGGAGGUAGAAAUAGAACUCCAGGGAUAAGUGAAACUAUUAAAACUAAUGCUAACAGUGAAAUGUAUUAGCAAGUUCAUAUGAAAAUCAAAUUGUUGUAAUGUAAAUUAUGAUAUUAGACUCAUUAGGUCGCUACUAGUCUGCACACACUAGUUUAAGUACGGUAAUGUAACGAGUUGAAAAUUUAAGAAGAAAUUAAUAAAGAAUGGAAUUGUAAAGUAUGAGUAGCUGACCGGUUACGAACGGGUCAAUGUGACGAAGAAAGCAUAAUGAAGAAAUUGCAAAAGUAGUGACUCGUUGUAAUAGGUCGCAGGAGAUGAAAACUAUGAUAAUGAAAAAAAAUGUAAGUAUUGACCCGUUAUAGAUGGGUCAAUUAAGACAAGCAUGACGGGCUAUGAUAAUGGUCAAAACCUUGAUCCGUUAUGAACAGGUCGGAUGGACUAUAUGUUUGAUGUUUAAGGAAUGUUACGUAAAAAUCUAGGUAGAUUGAUUUGUAGAAAGAAAUGGAGAAAGGACCUUCUAGAAAUGAGGAUCUUAAAGUUAUGACCUUACUAAUGGAUAAACUAAUAGUGAUGAAGUAGGUUUCGGGGACGAAACCUUCUUUAAGGGGGGUAGAUUUGUAACACCCCAAAACUCAAAUUAUUAAAUUCAUUAGUAGGUUACCAUGUGUAAUUAAAUGAAAUACAAUAACUAAGUUAUUAUACUUAGUUAAAUGCCUAAUAAAUAAGUAAGGGAAUGAAAUUGGUGGCAAUUAUGAUGGUGUGAUAAACUUGAGGGACUAAGGUUGCCAAAAUAGAAACUGAAUUUAAUUAAAACAAAAUUAAAUCACACACAAACACACACAAGGUGUGUGCUACGAUCGAACAGGAGAAAGGAAAAAGGGGGUGUGAACCCUAAACCUCAAGAAAUCAUCAAAUUGAAAAGGGAAUCAAGGGCUGAUUGUAUGCAUGAACCAAGGAUGAUGAUCCCUUAAGCAUUUCUAACAUCAACGUAGGAGCCAUGUCAACAUGGACACGAGCAUGGAAGGGCAAUGGGUCAACGGUAAAUACGGAAGCUAUGCAUGAACUCGGACGCACGAGGUAAGUGAUUUCCGUAAUCACUUCUUAUUUUGUUUAAGUAAGGUAGCGUUAGUUAAUUGAGCAUGGUGAUGAUUGAAGUUUGAUAUGGUUUUGGUUGUAUGAAAUCGGUUAUUUUAGCUAAGUAGACCGAACGGGACAAUAUAAAGUUGUAAUGAUAUGACAGAUUGAUGUAAUGCUAUGGUAUUGUAACCGGGUAAUGGGUAGAAUUGCACAUAAGUGCGCCAACCUAGAAUGGGGACUUAGGUUAAUGGUCAAAAGACUUAGCUUUUGACCUUAAAUAAAAGAAUGGUUUAACAAAAUACGAACAGGUCGAAUAAAUGUCCAUAAACUUCAUAAUGCUAAUGAAAUGCGUAAAGAUUAAGGACCCGGGUAAGGGCGUUUAGCCCAUAAUGUAAGGACAAGUCUUACGGACAACUAGAAAUAAUUGUGAGCAAUUUGAUUGAGGAAUGUCCGAGAUACGCAAGUUUUAAUAAUAAAAAUAUGAAUGGGUUGAAUAGUCGAAACGAGUAUGUAGAGCCGAAGGCUUUAAGUUAAGAUUUUUCCUUGUUUGGAUGUUAUAUUACAAGCUCAUAUUAGAAAAUCGAUUUACCAACGCAUAGGAAAAAGAAUCAUGUUAAUCGGAUUCGUAGAUCAAAAGUUAUGCAAAUUGUAAGUCGAAAAUACCCUUGGAAUUCAUAGCUGGGAAUUUACAGCAGCAAAUUGGAAGUUUCUGUCGAAAUAGAGCUGUCGCGCCCCGCGAGCGCCAGUCAGCUGGCAAAUUUUGGUUUUCUUGUUUGAUUUUGCAUCCGGACUCGAUGUUUUAAUGAUUUUCGAUGUCCCUUAACUUAUAUUAAAGCCGGUUUGAAACACGAGUGAUGUUAUGAGCCUCCGGAUAAUGAAAGUAUGUAUUUUUCUUCGUGUUAGAGAAGAAAGAUUAUAAGUAAUCGAGACUAGAAAUGAGUGGGCAUGCAGUAUGGUAAGUAUAAAACUUAUAUCACGGAAGUUGCGAUUAUGAUAAGAAAUGCGAGAUUAAGUGAAUAAAAGUAGUAAGCGAGGGCUCGCGUCUAUGUGUGUGUAUGUGAAUGUGUGCGUAUGUAUGUAAGUGUAUAUGUUGUAUGUAUGUAGGAAUUAGGAACGUAUACGUUUAUGGAUGCGAGAUGUUAUAAGUAUAUGAAGGAAUGGUUUGGACUGGUUUCAUUAUGUUCUAGCAUUAAUGUUUGCUAAUCGUGUGUUUGAGAUUGGAAUGAAAUGCAGGUACAUGAACACCGGGUUCAUGAAGUAUCGAAGUCGAAUUCGGAACAAGAAAAUACGAAAGGAUAGUUGAAUGAAUUAAAGUUCCUACUGUUAAAUGUUAUUCAAUAUUGGAGUAUAUGAGAAUCAUGUCGUAUGAUAUUGUUAAUGACUAAUGGUUAUGAUGUAUGCGAUGUCCACAGGUAUUGCACGGAUUACCGCUACUACUACCGAAGAUAAGCAAGCGUUGAUCGAGUCACGGAGCAAGGGUUGUACGGAAAUAUGUAUUGUCUUGAAGCGUUAAUUUAAUGUGGUUAUUGUAAAUCCCUUUUGUAAAUGUUUAUCAUUUGUAUUUGAGCCUUCAAGUAAGUAAUGUGUCUAAAUAAGAAAGAAAUUUUUGGGCUCGUAUUUUUCCGCUGUGUCAUAUUUAAGUUCUUACAAGUUGGUCUUACAGGGAAUCGUUCAUUAUACGAACGGGUCAUGCCCGAAUUUUGUAAAUAAUAAUACUUAUUUUGGAGUAAGAAAUAUGGGCGUUACAAGUUGGUAUCAGAGCCCUGGUUUGAGGGAAAUCAAGUAGAUGGAGGUAAAUACUUGAACUCAAACCCGUGUGCUCUUGUGUCAAGGAACCCGUACAAUCCAAGACUCGAUCAAGACCUGAGGUUAAAAGCGAAUGUAAGUAUGUAUUAAAUUAUGUAUUUCAAGGAAACUAAUAGUAUGUUAUGUGAAGGGUAAGCGGAAUUUCUUGGAAGGGAUGAUAUGUGAAUGUGGUUUAGGACCGAUACCAAGGCAUGUAAUAAGACAUAUUGACCCAGGUACGUAAAUUUAGCUUAUGGGUGCAUGUAAUGGUAAAAUCUAUCAAGUGAAUGAAAAUUUUGAAUGAAAAAAAAUAAUAAUAAUGGAAUAGUAAUGAAGUUUUGAAAAUAUUACACGUGCUGAAACCUAAUUCUUCGGACAUAAGGUGGCGAUUACACGAAGACGCGGAACUAGUAUGUGGAUUGCGUACCUGGCCAGUACACAAGAAACAUAUGACGUUCGUGAGACCGUGAUAAUUGUUACAGGUAUGUCCGUUAGAAUUAGGUAGUAGGUGGACGUGAGGGUGAAGGGAGAUGUAAGACUCUCAAGAAAUUGAAAGUACCUAAUACAAAAGAGAAGUAUGAAUGGCAUGUUUGAAUCCGCGAGACGGAUUCGAAACAUGAAAGGAAUGAAAAGAUAUGAAUGAUAUGUUAGAAUCCGCGAGACAGAUUCGAAACAUGAAAGGAAUGAAAAGAUAUAAAUGAUAUGUCAGAAUCCGCGAGACGGAUUUGAAAGAUGAAAGGAAUGAAAAGAUGUGAAUGAUAUGUUAGAAACCGCCAGACGGAUUCGAAACAUAGAAGGGAAUGAAUGAUAGAAUGAAAAGUUUGAAUUCGUAAGUAGGUACAAAUCAAAUAAGUAAGAAUGAAUGAUAAGAAUGAAAGGUUCAAAUUGUAAGUAAUUACAGACCAAACAAAUAAAUGAUCUUUAAAAAGCAGAUAUUAUCCAAGUUAUUUUUUAAACAUAUAUAUAUAAAUAUAUGAAUAUAUUUUGCUAAUGCGUAGUAUGCAAGAAUGGUUAAAAGGAUAAUUGAGUUAUGCAGGUCAAAAGGAGAUUGCCAUUUGCACCCGGUGUUCAACAAAGUAAGUUGAUAGUUAUUAAGCAAGUAAUAGUAAAAUAGCAUGAAAUAGUUGAUUCGCCAAGUAGAUAAACCGAUAAAAAAAUAUUGUAGUAGCAAGAAACUUUAGCCGAAAGAAAUAAGCUUUGAAAUAAGUUAUGUGUAAGACAUAUUAUAAAUUGACUCUUGGGAGUCGGGAUGAAUGAAGGCUACGACUUAGAGAAAUGAUUUAAGUAGGGACAGGAAGGGGUAAAAUCUUGCAAUUAAUAUUAAAAUGAUUAAAUAAAGUCUUUGCAAGUAUGCAAGAAUGGAAAGGAAUUCUGAACGUGUACUUUGAUACGUCUAUGAUAAGUAAGAAGUACCGGUUUGACUUUGAAAAGUCAAACUACAAAAGUUGACAAAUGAGCUAAAGAUCUGCGAAGGAAUGGUUAUAUAUUGACCUGUCAUGAACGGGUCAAACAACGAAAGAGAUAUGUUGUAAAAUGGUCAUGUAUUGGCCCGUUAUGAACGGGUCAAACGCACUAAUGUUUUAAAAGGAAUCGAGAAAGAAUUAAUAUGCAAAUAAGGUGGUGUAAUGAACAUCACGUCUGAAUGAAAUAUGUAAAACCCUAAUCUUAUAAUGAGAGUGGCAGGAAUCAGGAGGUGAUAAACCUAGCAAGGUCAGUCAAAGAAUGCUCAUGAGCGAAAGCUCAUCACACGGAUGAAAGAGGUCAAUCCGGAAAAUGGUACAAAUGGUAAUGAAGAAGACCGGUUCGCUCUUACAUGCCUAAGCACUGCGCCAAAGUAGUAAGUUUAGGGAAUUAUUAAUAUGUGAAUGUAAAAUUAUAACUAUGGUUGAAAAGUACUUCCGUACAAAAUUAUGUGGCAGAGAAUGUGUUAUGAAAAGGAAGGCUUGGCUUUUAGAAGUUAAUUAAGAUUAAGUUUCAGUUCAGGCUUAUGUAGUAAGUAGUGCGAAUGAGUAAGGAGGUAGAAAUAGAACUCCAGGGAUAAGUGAAACUAUUAAAACUAAUGCUAACAGUGAAAUGUAUUAGCAAGUUCAUAUGAAAUUCAAAUUGUUGUAAUGUAAAUUAUGAUAUUAGACUCAUUAGGUCGCUACUAGUCUGCACACACUAGUUUAAGUACGGUAAUGUAACGAGUUGAAAAUUUAAGAAGAAAUUAAUAAAGAAUGGAAUUGUAAAGUAUGAGUAGCUGACCGGUUACGAACGGGUCAAUGUGACGAAGAAAGCAUAAUGAAGAAAUUGCAAAAGUAGUGACUCGUUGUAAUAGGUCGCAGGAGAUGAAAACUAUGAUAAUGAAAAAAAAUGUAAGUAUUGACCCGUUAUAGAUGGGUCAAUUAAGACAAGCAUGACGGGCUAUGAUAAUGGUCAAAACCUUGAUCCGUUAUGAACAGGUCGGAUGGACUAUAUGUUUGAUGUUUAAGGAAUGUUACGUAAAAAUCUAGGUAGAUUGAUUUGUAGAAAGAAAUGGAGAAAGGACCUUCUAGAAAUGAGGAUCUUAAAGUUAUGACCUUACUAAUGGAUAAACUAAUAGUGAUGAAGUAGGUUUCGGGGACGAAACCUUCUUUAAGGGGGGUAGAUUUGUAACACCCCAAAACUCAAAUUAUUAAAUUCAUUAGUAGGUUACCAUGUGUAAUUAAAUGAAAUACAAUAACUAAGUUAUUAUACUUAGUUAAAUGCCUAAUAAAUAAGUAAGGGAAUGAAAUUGGUGGCAAUUAUGAUGGUGUGAUAAACUUGAGGGACUAAGGUUGCCAAAAUAGAAACUGAAUUUAAUUAAAACAAAAUUAAAUCACACACAAACACACACAAGGUGUGUGCUACGAUCGAACAGGAGAAAGGAAAAAGGGGGUGUGAACCCUAAACCUCAAGAAAUCAUCAAAUUGAAAAGGGAAUCAAGGGCUGAUUGUAUGCAUGAACCAAGGAUGAUGAUCCCUUAAGCAUUUCUAACAUCAACGUAGGAGCCAUGUCAACAUGGACACGAGCAUGGAAGGGCAAUGGGUCAACGGUAAAUACGGAAGCUAUGCAUGAACUCGGACGCACGAGGUAUUGCACGGAUUACCGCUACUACUACCGAAGAUAAGCAAGCGUUGAUCGAGUCACGGAGCAAGGGUUGUACGGAAAUAUGUAUUGUCUUGAAGCGUUAAUUUAAUGUGGUUAUUGUAAAUCCCUUUUGUAAAUGUUUAUCAUUUGUAUUUGAGCCUUCAAGUAAGUAAUGUGUCUAAAUAAGAAAGAAAUUUUUGGGCUCGUA